rnacentral:rRNA from 1 species
UUGGAGGGCAAGUCUGGUGCCAGCAGCCGCGGUAAUUCCAGCUCCAAUAGCGUAUAUUAAAGUUGUUGCAGUUAAAAAGCUCGUAGUUGAAUUUCGGGAUCAAUAUAUCGGUCGUGCCAUUGGUACGUACUGGUAUCAUUGGUUUCUCCUUUCUGACGAACCAUGAUGUCAUUAAUUUGGUGUUAUGGGAAGUUAGGACUGUUACUUUGAAAAAAUUAGGGUGUUUAAAGCAGGCUUUAGCUUGAAUACAUUAGCAUGGAAUAAUGAAAUAGGACGUUCGAACCUAUUUUGUUGGUUUCUAGGAUCAACGUAAUGAUUAGUAGGGAUAGUUGGGGGCAUUAGUAUUCAAUUGUCAGAGGUGAAAUUCUUGGAUUUAUUGAAGACUAACUACUGCGAAAGCAUUUGCCAAGGAUGUUUUCAUUAAUCAAGAACGAAAGUUAGGGGAUCGAAGACGAUCAGAUACCGUCGUAGUCUUAACCAUAAACUAUGCCGACUAGGGAUCGGAUGAUGUUAAUUUUUUAAUGACUCAUUCGGCGCCUUACGGGAAAC